GGAGUGAAGCUCGAAAUGCAUGGGAAACGGAGGAAGGGAGGGAGGAAGGAAACGGUGGGCGGAAACAGCACACACCAGUAUCCGUGACCCCAGCUCCAGGGGCUUGGGGGGCAGAGGGAGGACCGGUGGCUGUUUGCCCAGCCACUCUGGGCUUUUGGACAGGACACCCCACUAAGUGGCUCAUUUGUUUUGUCACAGACCAGGGCUACUCCGGGGCAGGGGCCAUAUGGUCUCAGCUUGUCUGGGCCUGGCGCACAGUAGGACCUCCCCCAACCCCGAGCUCCCUCGGCCCUCCAUCUCCAUACACGGCACUGCCAUCCUCCCGGGCGCUCCAGCCAAACACCCAGAGAUGACCGUCAGAUGGGGUAAAAUACCGAGGGAGCUCAAGUGUGGUGUAUCUAUCACCUUUGUUCCUAAUGUAAGUACUUGUAAGUUAUUGAAUUUAUGUAAAUCUAAUAUGUAAUUUAAUUUUUUUCUAAUAAAGCAAUGCAUUUCUUUA